UCGGGAAUUUUGGGCAAUGGGCGAAAGCCUGACCCAGCAACGCCGCGUGAAGGAUGAAGUAUUUCGGUAUGUAAACUUCGAAAGAAUAGGAAGAAUAAAUGACGGUACUAUUUAUAAGGUCCGGCUAACUACGUGCCAGCAGCCGCGGUAAUACGUAGGGACCAAGCGUUGUUCGGAUUUACUGGGCGUAAAGGGCGCGUAGGCGGCAAUUCAAGUCAUCUGUGAAAUCUCCGGGCUUAACUCGGAACGGUCAGAUGAUACUGCUUUGCUAGAGUGCAGAAGGGGCAAUCGGAAUUCUUGGUGUAGCGGUGAAAUGCGUAGAUAUCAAGAGGAACACCUGAGGUGAAGACGGGUUGCUGGGCUGAUACUGACGCUGAGGCGCGAAAGCUAGGGUAGCAAACGGGAUUAGAUACCCCGGUAGUCCCUGAGCGGGCUGGCAAGGCGCAU
rnacentral:rRNA from 1 species